GUAUCACUGAGUAGAAAACAUAAAUAAAAAGAAAUUAUUUUAAAAAAAACAAACAUAAAUUGUAGAGUUUAAAUAAAAAUAGCUGAAAUGAAAAAUUCCCCAGAGGGGCUCAACAUCAGAUUUGAGUAGGCAGAAGAAAGAAUCAGCAAACUUGAAUAUAGGUCAAUUGAGGUUAUCCAGGUUGAGGAACAGAAAGAAAAGAGAAUGGGUAAAAAUUAAUAGAGCCUUGAAAACACAUCAGAUAAUAUCAAGUGUACCAAUAUAUGCAUAACAGGAGUCACAUAAGGGGAGAAGAGAAAAAGAAUAUUUGAAAAAAUAAUGACCAAAGACUUCAAAAUUUGAUGAAAAAUAUUAACAUACCAAGAAGCUCAAUGAACCUGAAGUAGGAUACAUUCAAACUCAUUCCUGGACAUAUAAUCAUACUGUCAAAAGAUAAAGACUAGGAGAAAAUUGACUCAUACACAAGAAAUUCUUAUCAGAAAAUGUGGAGACCAGAAGGGAGAAGGAUGACUUCUUGGAAGUGCAAAACGAAAUGACUGUCAAGCAAGUAUUUUCUUUCCAGCAAAACAAUCCUUCAAAAGUGAAGAUGAAAUUAAAACAUUCUCAGAUAAAAUUCAGCAUUAGCAAGCCUGUCCUACAAGAAAUAAUAAACAGAGUCCUUGAGGCUACAAUAAAAGAACAAUAGUAACUCCAAUGCACAUGAAGAAAUAAAGAGCACAGGUAAAGGGAGCUACAGGGGUAAAUAUAAAAGAGCAUAAAUGCAGUUUUUGUUCACAACUUUUUUUACUCCUAAUUUAAGAGGCAACUCCAUUAAAAAGUUAUAAGUCUUUGUUGAUGGUCACAAAGUGAGAAAACAAAAUAUGUGUGACAAGAGCAGUACAAAGAAAGGGAGAGGGAACAAGCCUGUAUGGGAACAAACUUUUUGUAUAAUACUGAGAUUAAGCUGGGAUUAAUCAAAACUAGACUAUUAAGAUAUUAUAAUCCUCAGGGAAAGCACUAAGAAAUAUGUGGUAAAAUAAUAACUAAAGAGUAUAUAGUAAAAGAUACAAAAAGGAUACAAAAGAUACAGAAAUGGCACACUAAAAAUAUACAACAGAAGGCAUGGAAGUGUGGAGGAAUAGAAAAAAAGACGAGAAAAAU
ensembl:lncRNA